AUCGGGGCGAACCGGGAUUCGAACCCACAAUCAUAAGGUUUCUGGCGUGACCAAGGGACGCAACUCUGCAAAGCGAAUCGCGGCGUCUUAGACGACUGGGCCACCCGCGCCCCCGUUUCACAUAGAAACCGUAUGAAUACAACCAGAGACCAUUUAAUUAUAUGGUCU